CCUACGGGAGGCUGCAGUGGGGAAUAUUGGACAAUGGGCGAAAGCCUGAUCCAGCCAUGCCGCGUGUGUGAAGAAGGUCUUCGGAUUGUAAAGCACUUUAAGUUGGGAGGAAGGGCAGUAAAUUAAUACUUUGCUGUUUUGACGUUACCGACAGAAUAAGCACCGGCUAACUCUGUGCCAGCAGCCGCGGUAAUACAGAGGGUGCAAGCGUUAAUCGGAAUUACUGGGCGUAAAGCGCGCGUAGGUGGUUCGUUAAGUUGGAUGUGAAAUCCCCGGGCUCAACCUGGGAACUGCAUUCAAAACUGACGAGCUAGAGUAUGGUAGAGGGUGGUGGAAUUUCCUGUGUAGCGGUGAAAUGCGUAGAUAUAGGAAGGAACACCAGUGGCGAAGGCGACCACCUGGACUGAUACUGACACUGAGGUGCGAAAGCGUGGGGAGCAAACAGGAUUAGAUACCCCGGUAGUC
rnacentral:rRNA from 1 species